rnacentral:rRNA from 1 species
UACAGAGGUCUCAAGCGUUGUUCGGAUUCAUUGGGCGUAAAGGGCGCGUAGGCGGCUCGGUAAGCGUGCGGUGAAAGCCCGGGGCUCAACCCCGGGUCGGCCGUGCGAACCGCAGAGCUGGAGCACUGUAGAGGCAGGUGGAAUUCCGGGUGUAGCGGUGGAAUGCGUAGAGAUCCGGAAGAACACCGGUGGCGAAGGCGGCCUGCUGGGCAGUUGCUGACGCUGAGGCGCGACAGCGUGGGGAGCAAACAGG